rnacentral:rRNA from 1 species
GACGAACGCUGGCGGCGUGCUUAACACAUGCAAGUCGAGCGGUAAGGCCCUUUCGGGGGUACACGAGCGGCGAACGGGUGAGUAACACGUGGGUGACCUGCCCUCAGCGUCUGGGAUAAGACCUGGGAAACCGGGUCUAAUACCGGAUAUGACUCCAUGACGCAUGUUGUGGGGUGGAAAGCCUUGUGCGGCUGAGGAUGGGCCCGCGGCCUAUCAGCUUGGUUGGUGGGGUGAUGGCCUACCAAGGCGACGACGGGUAGCCGGCCUGAGAGGGCGACCGGCCACACUGGGACUGAGACACGGCCCAGACUCCUACGGGAGGCAGCAGUGGGGAAUCUUGCGCAAUGGGCGAAAGCCUGACGCAGCGACGCCGCGUGAGGGAUGACGGCCU